AUUGAACGCUGGCGGCAGGCCUAACACAUGCAAGUCGAACGAGUGGCGGACGGGUGAGAAAGGUCUGGGAAACGGCCUGAUGGAGGGGGUUAAGAACCGGAAACGGAAGCGAAAACCGCACACCAUCGGAUGUGCCCAGUGGGGAUUAGCUAGGGGGGGGGGUAACGGCUCACCAGGGCGACGAUCCCGAACUGGUCUGAGAGGAUGACCAGCCACACUGGAACUGAGACACGGUCCAGACUCCUACGGGAGGCAGCAGUGGGGAAUAUUGGACAAGGGGCGAAAGCCGGAUGCAGCCAUGCCGCGUGUGUGAAGAAGGGCUUCGGGUUGUAAAGUACUUUCAGCGGGGAGGCGUUACCCGCAGAAGAAGCACCGGCUAACUCCGUGCCAGCAGCCGCGGUAAUAC
rnacentral:rRNA from 1 species